GAAAUCCAUUUUUCGGUUCAAUAAAGUGCUAUUGUUACAAAUUAUUGAGCAACAUUUUGGUGGUGUCGGUUGGAAGACAGAAAGAAAGUUUCACUGUUUGCCGAAAGCAAGUGAUUGUACGUUAAAAUAGGGAACUACUUUGCAUGCGGCACGCGUAGGAGUACAGUAGCGAACUACAGUAGCGCGAGAUAAAAGACUCGAACACGGGCGUAGGCAACGGGAGUUGCGAGAAGAUGGAGGACUACGGAUGUGCGGCCGUGAAUUGUGCGGCGAUGAAGUGUGGAGUACUGAGAUGGCAGAAGGAUGGUGUUGGUUGAAGGUUCAGAUGGUUUCUCAAGUUUCCCUUCUAACUACAUCGUGUCAGCCCUGUUACCAUGAUAACUCUUCAAAUUUUCUGAUGGCGGUAUCCAGGCUUCUCAAGACUUUUGAGCUAGAACAUCAGCUUUUAUUCUCAUUUACUUGACAUCUGAGUUAAAAGUGGACUGGUGGCAUGUCGAGUGCUGCUAUUAGCCCGUGGCUGCUUAUGGAGUGCAGUCUGCCUAUUGGAUGUCGAGUGGUCAGAAUGGAUACGCCAGUACAUCUCUUCUGGGGAUGCGGUAGUGCCUGCAGCUACCUAUGAGGCGCUGUCAGUGGACAGCAGACCAGUUCGAGCGACCCACCUGAACUGUCUGUCAUUCCGAUUUGGGGUACAGCAAGGACAACGGAAGCCCUGUGCCACACUUGGGUUUAAAUCCAUCCAGCAGCUGCUCUUCAAACAGAACUUGGUGACACUGCCAACUCCUCUGCAACCAGGGCCUUUAAAAUAUCCUGACAGCCUAUUUGCGGGAUGCCUUCACACCCGUGAUAACUUUUCCGUAAGGGUGCAUUCAGUGUGCAGGUGCUCUGGGCUCAGUAUAUGUCCAGGCUGUAGAUAGCCUGAGAGCCUUCUUAACAGGACAUACAAGAGCCAAUAUGGGUGUUGUCAGAUUAGCAACUAUUCAGAUCAUGGGACUCGGAUUAUGCCAGAGUACCAGAGUAAUUUACAUUUUAUGGAAUGUAGUAUACUGAGUACAGAGCAUCAGUUCAUUUGGUAACGAACCCAGCCAUCAUUCUGGGCAAUUAACUUGUCUGAGUCACAUUUUUUGUGAGAGAACUAUUCUCAUACUUAAUACUCUUUACUAAGUAAAUGUAAAGUGGGCCGUACUUGAUUUAAAGAAACUUGACAUCACUGCAGGGAUAGUUUAGAUAUCUAUUACUGUUCUGCAGUACAGAAUGGUAUAUUUUUAUACCACUUAUUCAAUACUCUUACAGUUUUUACUAUUUGCCUUUAAAAUAUGUUCCUGGCAAGUUUGGACACAUCCAUUUUAAGUGUUAUUAAAAGGGCUCUUUAUCAUUGGGGUACAGUUAACCAAUGACUGUUCAACUAGUAAUGUGCUGUUGUGCAAGCAGUAGCUGUAUAAUGAAAUCACAGGGCAAAGGCAGCUGCCCUGCAUGUGGGUCACAGAUGGAUGGAGGCUCUUUAUGUCCAGGUAGUACUGUCGACAUGGCAGCGUGAUGGCGAUUCGUUAGCCCCAGCUGCUGUUCUACGCGUGGUGCAAGAUUUGCUGGGGGGACCGAUAGCUGUUAUUCUUGUGGGUGGCAGCAACCUGGAUCGUUCAGUGCUAUCACCCCAUAGACAGCACAUCUCGUGAGUGGUGACCAUCCUGGAGGCUGUUCUGUACAUCUGGCACCUUCAGUUUUCCGGACAAACUUCUGCCAUGUCGGUCUGCUCACAGGGUGUAAGCAAUUAAACUGCAUGAUGUUAGAACACUGUCAGACUAUAACUAUUCUACGUUCCAGUACAAUAUUUUUUUGUACCUAUUCUUCAACCUAUCAUUUUUAAAGCUCAUGUUGAAAGAUAAAAUUUUUAAUUUUUUUGAGGUAGUUGAAUGUUAUUAGAAAGUCACUGAUCACUAUGUUCUUGAAUACGCUUAAAAUUAAAAUUUACCCAUUUUUCUAUUAUUGGGUACAUUUAAGCUGACUACCACUUCAGUGGCGAGGCACUACUGUACCUAAUAUCUUUAUUUACAAUGCAAUGUUGGGCUACCUGCAGUCCUGCUCACAGGGCACAGGCGUAUCUUGUUCCUGGGACACUGAGAGGGAGAGCAACCCAACAGCAGCUGUGCUCGUGCUGCAGGAUUGGGUUGGUGGCCUCUUUACUAAUACGGUGCUGGAGGCUGCUCAGCGUACAGUGAACCAGAGGGUAGGCACUUCUUUUUAUGAUGAGUGCUUGGUUUUUGGGGAGCAAGUAAGCUGCUAAUAGGAAGCUGUAUUUGAUUAAAAGCUGUUUGAAAACUGAGUGUAAGAUAUCA